rnacentral:tRNA from 1 species
ACACUCAUAACCUAGUGGUUAAGGUUUUGGUCUUAUAAGUAGAAGGUCAAGGGUUCAAUUCCCAUUGGUA